CCUAAACGGCAUUAGGCACUUUUCAAAUAUAUUUAUGAAUAACUAUGAAUCUAUUGAUAAACUAAAAAUCUAUACUUAGCCGUCCCCCUAUGAAUUGAAGUGACAAUGAUUUGUGGAUAUUUCUUCUAAGAAAUACAGUCAUUACAUUCAAAGCAUAUCCAAAAUGUCUAAUAUUAUCACCACUCUGUUCGGCAAAAACGAAGCUUAUUUUUCCUCGCUGCGAUGUGGCCUGAUAAAAGCAAUGUAUCGGGUUGGUGUCCUGAUCGAGGUCGCGUUCCAUCUUUAUGCAAUGAUACGAGAAUGCCGAAAGGCCGUCUUUAUUCUUGGCUGGAUUCCGCCAUUUGACAUUUUUGAUCAUACUGCGCUUCUGAUCUAUUGCUUAGCCUGCGUCACGCUGCACGGAACCUGGGCAGGUCUGGUUAUGGGUGCCCACUUAAACAUUGUGCCUCCCAGUGCUACGGUACUAGCAAAUGAUGCUGACCGCCAUUAUCACGCCCUGUUGUGCGUCGCGCACUUCAUCGGUGCUGGAUUCUACCUAAGCAAAGCUGUGUGGAACCAUUGGCGUGCAUACUGACGGAUUCCUCGUGGUGAUGCAUUGUAGGUAAGCCAUGGACGCUCCAGCCCGUCAUAGUCCCGCUGUUUCUCGGCCUUUUGCAUCGAAGUCUUCUUUGCAUCUGGCAGUUAAAUGAUGAUAACGAGAGGAGACACAGCUUCGCGCGCAGGUCGAUUCAGCGUCAUUCCGUGAGAACCUCAUGUUCAGAGGCAGUUGCCCCCGCCGCUUCAGAGUACAGGCUGGUGCGUGGAGCUCCGCAUUACCAUGGGCCUAUAAUCCAUGAUCAUCACGAUGCAAUGGUUCGCCAGUCUCGCACGAGAAGUUGUCACUCGUGCUGCUCCGCGUCGCGUAACUCGGUUCAUCAUGCCAGUUGCCCAAAGGUCCAGUUGCCGGCCGGGCUACCAGAUAGCAUAACUGCCCCUUUACCUGGCAGUUCAACGUGACGGUGUGGAGCUGUCAUCAUUGCUAUCACAAUCAUUGUUAGGUUAGAGUUCUAAUAUCUGAACGUUUUGAUCAUUAUAUUCAAACAAUAAUCUGUUUGCGUUUGCAGAGAUGAGAGUGCGUUUGGCUGUUCCCUAUUGCAAAUCCACUACUGAUUAGAUAGCUGGCAACUGUGCACUUAAUGUAAGCGCCAUUUAGCGAGAGACGUGAUACGUCGCUUAAAGAAAGGGAGACAAACAGCAAUCGAAAGUGGCAAGCAGACGAAAACAGAAGCAAAACAAGGCUAGUGUAGCAGCGCUCCAAUAACGACUGUACGUAUUUAUUCCGUAAAGGAAGCCAGUAAAUUGCUACAAAAUCGACAUGUCGUAAUAACGUGGGCUUUGCGGCGGGGAGUGUUUUAAGUUUCAUGGCAUCAGAAUAGCAUCAGAAUAAAGUAAUUUCCUUUCGAUUUA